ACAGCACAGAGCAGAAGCAAGGAAAGAAUGACAGAAACUCAGUGAAGGCCAUCAGAAAGUUCUGCCAAGAAACAUUUUGAAAAGCUGGAAUCAAGAUUACUGGGAGAAAUAUCAAUAACCUCAGAUAUGCAGAUGACACCACCCUUACGGAAGAAAGUGAAGAAUUAAAGAGCCUCUUGAUGAAAGUGAAAGAGGAGAGUGAAAAAGUUGGCUUGAAACUCAACAUUCAGAAAACUAAGGUCAUGGCAUCUUGUCCCAUCACUUCUUGGGAAAUAGAUUGG
ensembl:lncRNA